GAAUCCGCAGCGCCACUCCACCCCAUUCGAAUUCGAAGCACAAGAGAGGGAGAGAUCCGAUGGCUCGCACCAAGCAGACGGCGAGGAAGUCGACCGGCGGGAAGGCGCCGAGGAAGCAGCUGGCGACGAAGGCGGCGCGCAAGUCGGCGCCGGCGACGGGCGGGGUGAAGAAGCCGCACAGGUUCAGGCCCGGGACGGUGGCGCUCAGGGAGAUCCGCAAGUACCAGAAGAGCACGGAGCUGCUGAUCCGGAAGCUGCCCUUCCAGCGGCUGGUGCGGGAGAUCGCGCAGGACUUCAAGACGGACCUCCGCUUCCAGUCCUCCGCCGUUGCCGCGCUGCAGGAGGCCGCCGAGGCCUACCUCGUCGGCCUCUUCGAGGACACCAACCUCUGCGCCAUCCACGCCAAGCGCGUCACCAUCAUGCCCAAGGACAUCCAGCUCGCCCGCCGCAUCAGGGGCGAGAGGAAGUUAGAACAACCUACUCCACUGAGCAAAAUUACGCCUACGUACUACACGUCGUGUCAACCUGAACUCGAUCUCCCCGUCUCCUCGAUCGCCAUGCCUCUCCUCCUCGUCCUAGUGGCAGCCCUCCUCCGCGCAUGGUGCGCCGCGGCCGCGACGGAUACCCUCUCGCCUGGCCAGGCGCUCGCCGGCGACGGCAAGCUUGUCUCCAGCAAUGGCAAGUUCGGGCUCGGCUUCUUCCAUACCAGCAGUAAGUCCACUUCCGAUCACACCGACGCUCUGAAGCUAUGGCACUUAGGUGUAUGGUUCAACAGGGUUCCCAAGCUGACCCCCGUGUGGGUAGCGAGCCGUGACAGCCCAGUAGAGUGCCCCACCUCGCCGGCGCUCGCAUUCUCCGGUGACGGCAACCUCGCCGUCGUGAACCGGGCCACCAACGCCACCGUCUGGUCCAGCCAAGCGAGCAUCAAAGCCAACACCACCACCGUGCUCGUCCUCCUCGACAGCGGGAACCUCGUCCUGCGCAGCUCCGGCGGCGACGUACUGUGGCAGAGCUUCGACCACCCGACGGACACCCUCCUCCCCGAGGCGACGAUCGGCAUGAACAAGACCACCGGCGUGAGCCGCCGCCUCGUCUCAAGGAGGAGCAAGACCGACCAUGCUCCGGGCGUCUACUCCAUGGAGCUCGGCCGCGACGGCGUCGUCCGGAUGCUGUGGAACUCGUCCGUCCCGUACUGGUCCAGCGGCGAGUGGAACGGCCAGUACUUCAGCUCGGUGCCGAUGAUGGCGGCGCGCCACCGGUUCAGCUACACGUUCGUCAACAACGACCAGGAGGUGUCCUACGCGUUCCACUUCCACCUCUUCCUGGACGUGCCCGGGCAGGCGAAGGUGCUCGUCUGGCACCAUGGCAGGCAGGACUGGGUGAGGGUGUUCACCCACCCAGGCGAUCAGUACUGCGAGGUGCACGCGGCGUGUGGCUCCUUCGCUGUCUGCAACGACACGACGCUGCUGUCCUGCAGCUGCAUGAACGGUUUCACCACCGAGGAGCUAUCGUCACCCGGCAGUUGGGACCCAGCUGAAGACAGCAUUGGUGGAUGCACAAGAAACACCCUAUUAGAUUGCAGCAGCAGCAGCGGCGGCGGCAAUGGCACUAUGGGUUUGAUCGACAAAUUCUAUGCUAUGGCGGGUGCUACGCUGCCCUUUGAUCCUCAGCAGAUAGGGCAUGCCGCAAGCGCAGGCGAAUGCGAGGAGGUUUGCUUGAGUCACUGCUCCUGCACUGCAUAUUCAUUUUGCAACGGUGGUUGCUCCGUAUGGCACGGUGAGUUGCUCAACGUGAAUCACCAUCCGAGUGAUGGUGCUACCAGCAAUGGAGAAGCUCUUUACAUUCGUCUCGCUGCAAGAGAGAAGCAGUUUCGAGCUAGAAGAAACAAUGGAGUUACCAUUGGAGUUUUUACCAUUGUUGCGUCUUCUGUAACUUUGGGUAUCUUGGCACUCAUCAUAAUACUAAGAGUCAUGAGGAACAAAAGGAGGUUAGUGAAGAGUAGUCACGUUUGGAGUGGACUUAUUCCAUUUAAAUACAAAGAAUUGCAGCGCGCAACGAGAAACUUUUCUGAGAGGAUUGGGGCAGGUGGCUUUGGUGCUGUGUUCAAGGGGUUGCUUGAUGAGUCCACCACUGUAGCAGUGAAAAGGCUCUAUGGAUCCUACCAGGAAGAGAAGCAAUUCUGGGGCUGAGGUAAGUUCAAUAGGAAUGAUCCAUCAUACUAAUUUAGUCAAAAUGAUUGGUUUUUGUUGUGAGGGCAACAAAAGGCUACUUGUUUACGAAUACAUGUCGAAUAGUUCUCUUGACACUCAUUUAUUCCAGAAAAGUGCUUCAACUCUAAAUUGGAACGUCAGAUAUCAAAUAGCUCUUGGAGUUGCUAGAGGAUUGGCUUACUUGCACGAGAGUUGUCGGGACUAUAUCAUACACUGUGAUAUCAAGCCGUAAAAUAUACUUCUUGAUACAUCAUUUGUUCCGAAGAUCGUAGAUUUUGGGAUGGCAAAGCUUCUAGGAAGGGACUACAGUCGGGUUGUGACUACAGCAAGAGGAACUAUUAGAUAUCUUGCGCCUGAAUGGAUUAGUGGAGUGGCCAUUACGCCAAAAAUGGAUGUAUAUAGCUAUGGUAUGGUACUGUUUGAAAUCAUUUCUGAAGAAGGAAUACACAUGAAGAAUACGGUAGCAAUGGUGAUGACUUGGCUUAUUUCCCCAUUCAAAUUACACGUAAGCUUCUCGAGGGGGAUGUCAUGAGCUUUGUAGAUCAAAGUCUGCAUGGUGAUGUUGUCUUCAAUGAGGUUGAAAGAGCUUGCAAAUUCGCUUGCUGGUGCAUCCAAGACAGGGAAUUUGACCGACCAACGAUGGGUAAGGUGGUUCAAAUUCUCGAGGGUUUUGUUGAUGUCGACAUGCCCCCAAUGCCGAGGCUGCUCGAAGCUAUUGCUGGAAGGUGACAUUCAACAUGUACUGCACUUGCUCUCUUUAUUUCUUUAUAA